UCCCAUCGCUUGAAUACAGUACUCCUAGGG
rnacentral:piRNA from 1 species